rnacentral:rRNA from 1 species
UAGGGAAUCUUCGGCAAUGGGGGGAACCCUGACCGAGCAACGCCGCGUGAGUGAAGAAGGUUUUCGGAUCGUAAAGCUCUGUUGUUAAGGAAGAACGAGUGUGAGAAUGGAAAGUUCAUACUGUGACGGUACUUAACCAGAAAGGGACGGCUAACUACGUGCCAGCAGCCGCGGUAAUACGUAGGUCCCGAGCGUUGUCCGGAUUUAUUGGGCGUAAAGCGAGCGCAGGCGGUUAGAUAAGUCUGAAGUUAAAGGCAGUGGCUCAACCAUUGUAGGCUUUGGAAGCUGUUUAACUUGAGUGCAGAAGGGGAGAGUGGAAUUCCAUGUGUAGCGGUGAAAUGCGUAGAUAUAUGGAGGAACACCGGUGGCGAAAGCGGCUCUCUAGUCUGUAACUGUCGCUGAGGCUCGAAAGCGUGGGGAGCGAACAGG